UCUACUCAAUCCAGAACCCUAGAUCGAGAUUUGGGGUGACAUUGGGGGCGAGCUUGGUGCGGCGGAGGGGUUGGUCGAGGCGGCCGAGUGCUCGUCGGGGGGCGAGCUGGCGGGCUCAGUGGAGCCGGUGGAGGGCGCAGUGGCUGGCCCCGUGGAGGGCGGUGCGGUGGCUGGCCCCGUGGAGGCGAGCGCGGUGGCUAGCUCUGCGGAGCCGCAUAAGCUCGUAGCGGCGGGUGCAGGAGAGAGAUGCAGCGUUGGACAUGCCAUUGGUAUUGAAGCCAUGGACGUGCUAGAUACUCUUGUGGUGAGGUUUCAUAUAAAAGGUGAAUUUGUGACAGAAGGUAGAGAGAAGAAAUAUGUUGAUGGUGUGGAGGCAUUGUCAUAUAUAGCUAGGGAUAAGGUCACAUUGAGUGGAAUAUUGGAACAUUUGCGUGAACACUGCAAUUUUAUUGUGGGAACACUUCUGCAUUGGCUGUUUCCAUGAAAAGAUAUGCAGACUGGGCUGCGUAUCUUAAUGGAUGACACUGUAUGUACAUACAUGUCUGACUGCAUUGUGGAGGGGGGGUGGCAGAAGUGUAUGGUUAGGAACCAGAAGUAGUAGAUUUGUGUGAUGAUUCAGAUGAUGAUAGUGAGUCCGAUGCUGAUAUGGAAGUGGAAAGUGAUAAGGAAAGUGAAGAGGCUGUAGAGGUAGAUGUUGCUCAAUGUAAAGCUACAGCUGCUCAAUGUGAUCAAACUAAUGCUAGUGGGCUGAAGGGUAAAAGUGUGAUGGAAGGUGAUGAAGAUGAUAGGAUGCUUGUUGUAUAUUACCCUGAGUCUGCUCCCCUGGCUAGCUUGGCACCUUCAGAGAGUGAAUCUGACAGUGACUACAUACCUGGUGAUGUUUGUCCAUCUGAUGAUGAUGAAGAGGCUGCUGAAAUAGAGAAGCAUUACAAAGAAGUGAAGAAGAAGAUUAAGACUGGACAGUUAGAAGACCUAGAUGCUGUUUUCUUUGAGCAAGACAGGUCCAAGCCAAGUAUGCAGGCAGCUGCAGAUGAGGGGAAUGAAACCCCAUAUGCUGAAAGUGAAGAUGACUAAUCAGUUGAAGAACUUGGCAGUGAUGGGGAGGUUAGGAUAAGGCAGGACAAACAUCCAAGAUAUAAGAAGAAGGAUGGAGUUCCCACAUUUGAACUUGGCAUGAAGUUCAAUUGCAAGAAUCAGUUCAAGAAGGCCAUCACAAAAUAUGCAUUAGCUGAGAAGAAGGUGAUCAAUUUUAUAAAAGAUGAUCAGAAAAGGGUCAGGGGCAAGUGUGACUGGGAUACCUGUCAAUGGGUCUGUUUGCUAUCAAAGAACUCCAGGUCUGACAGUUGGCAAAUUGUGACAUAUGAGAGCUUGCAUGCUUGCCCACCAAGGAGGGAUAACAAGAUGGUGACAGCCACAAGGAUUGCUCAGAAGUAUUGGAAGUUCAUAGCUGCCAACCCAUCCUAGAAUUUGUCACACAUAAGCUCCACAAGUGCAUCAGUAAAGGUUACUUCAGGGAAAGCUUCAGUUUGUGUUUCUGCUCAAGAACCCUCAAAUGCCAGACCCAAAAAGAAGACAGUUGGAGCACUUCUUCUGUUGCCAUGGGAGUCUGACAAGCUGUGAAAUGUUUGCUGCUAUGUUUAUGCAAUAUGUGGUCUUGCAGGGCAAGUAGCCCAUGUAUCUAGCUUUUUGUGUUGUGUUGAUUGCCAGACAAUCAGGCUCAUGCCUGUAUUUUGCAAACUAUUACCUACCUGUGUUGUUUGCCAGACAAUUUGGCUCCUGAUCAUGUAUGCCACUUGAUGUGUGCCACUAAUGGUUCAGCUUAGACCACUGUUGUUGAACUGCAA